GCAUUGGUGGUUCAGUGGUAGAAUUCCCGCCUCCCAUGCAGGAGACCCAGGUUCGAUUCCUGGCCAAUGCA
rnacentral:tRNA from 1 species